AACCCAGAGCAUGGGUGAAAAGAAAUAGUGAGGGGCCAAGCGCCCUCCACUCCCCCUGUCCAGGAGACCAGGUUGCCUCUCCAGGGAGCCAAUCCCAUUGCUUCCUAAGGGUGGAGAGAGAGGCGGUGGACUAAAGUCAGUGGAAGUCUGGACCAUGGAGAAGAGGUGGGACCACAGGACAAAGGCCUAGAUGCUGGGGCAAUCAUCUGUAAUCUCAUCCAUGGCCCACAGGUCUUCAGUGUGGGAAAACAAUCUGGAAACAAAUGCAUAAAAUUUGAACAGACAUUUGACAAAAAUUUAUAAGUACUUAAUAAAUAUGUGAUCAUUACUUAUCAAGAAAGUGUAAAAUAAGUCCCAGUGAGAAAACUAAAGCUCCAUUGAAUGGGUGGUGUGACGGUUGUUCUUGAUCAUCAGCGUAACUGGCUUGAAAGGUGCCUGGAGCUCUCUCUGCUUCCUGGAUGUUGCGCGCUCAGCAGCUUUCCUCCUCCACACCCUUCCAUCAGGAUGGUUCUGCCAUGGAGCCAGUGACCGUGAACUGAACCCUCUGAUACCCUGAAUCUGUAAGUUGUGUGUGUCAGGUGUUUGGUCACAGCACUGAGAAGCUGAUCAACACCAUGGGCAGAACCAGAUGCUGGGAGGAUUCUAACUGGAAUUCUCGUGAGUUGCUGGUGGAAUGUGAAAGGGGAAUAAUAUCUCUGGGAAACACUUUCGGCUAUUUCUUAAAAGGGUGGACGUUCCCAUAUGAGUCAGAAACUCUACUCUUAGGCAUUUAAUCAGUAAAAUUAAAAUAACAUC